GACGAACCGGACAAACGUUAUUCGGAAUUACUGGGCUUAAAGGGUUUGUAGGCGGUCUUGUAAGUCAGGUGUGAAAUCCCUCGGCUCAACCGAGGAAUGGCGCUUGAUACUGCAAGGCUUGAGGGAGACAGGGGUAAGCGGAACUGAUGGUGGAGCGGUGAAAUGCGUUGAUAUCAUCAGGAACACCGGUGGCGAAAGCGGCUUACUGGGUCUCUUCUGACGCUGAGGAACGAAAGCUAGGGGAGCGAACGGG
rnacentral:rRNA from 1 species